ACAAAGAUUCUUGACAUCUGUUGGAACUUGUUCUGAAGUGUUUUCAGUCUCAUGAAAAUCGCAUUUUCUGGCUUUUUAUGUUGUUCUAGAGCAGGGAUCUAGAGGCUGUGGCUGAGAUAUAGUUUAUUUUUACAUGUAGUUAAAGCUUUAGGAAAAAUGGGGAACCUUAUUAGCAGUCUAAUGGGUUCCCAUGUUAUGGGCUCAGGAGGAAGCAAGCGGAAAGUUGAAGAUUUAGAAAGCGAGGACGAAGAUGCAACAGAUUUCGACUCACUCCUACAUACUCCCAAAAGACGGAGAUUAAACUCAACAUCACAGUAUAUCUACAAGACGUUAUUCGAAGAGGGAUGUGCAUCAGAUGUGACUGUCGUGGCACUGGGGAGAGAGUGGCAUUUACACAAAGUUUAUUUGUGUCAGAGUCCAUAUUUCGGAAGCAUGUUCUCGGGCAACUGGACAGAGACAAACCAGUCCAAAAUCAACAUUGAGAUCCUUGACGACAAUAUAAACAUUGAUGCCCUACACCUCGCCCUAGGCCAGUUCUACAAAGACGACAUUGUGGUGGAGCCAGCGCAGGUAAUUCCUUUGCUGGCAACGGCUCUGCUCCUCCAGAUGGACCCGCUCAUUGACCAGUGCACCUCAAUCAUGAUGGAGACCAUUAACCUGCAGACUGUCCUUCAGUACCACGAAGCAGCACGAAGGUACGGGGUUCUAGAGGUAGACAAGGCAUGCAAACAGUGGCUCCUGCACAACCUAUUAACACAGGUGACUGAACACCCUGCCACGCUGAGACACAUCCCUUCGGAUCUCAUGUCGGAACUUCUCACCUCCCCCCACCUUUACGUGAUGCAGACAGAGUUCAGUGUCUACGUCAUGCUCAAGGCAUGGGUAUUUCUGCGACUGAAUCCAAGUUGGGAUGGAUCACAUGAGACGGCUUUCCUCGAGGCACACAAGUACUUCAGGAACAGAGCAGAGCGUGGCUGGUUCUUGGAGGAGGAAGGCCGCGAGUUCUCUUCAGUGUUUUCUGCACUGCGUCUUGUCUACCUAAUCUACCAUCACCUGGAUGUGGAGAUGCUCUACUCAGACCGCAUUCUUCCCCCCUCUUGGAUCACCCCUGCCAGCAUGCAUCAGUGGUACAACAUGCUACGCAUUGACCAGGGCAAAGACAGAGGGCCAAGUGAGAUAUCAGAAGAGGAGUUUGACCGGUCUUGCACACGUUGUGGCCGGGUACUGGGGAAUUCAGGGCAGCACAUCUGGCGUUGGACGGGCUACAACUUUGGCCUGGACCUGGUCAUGACCCAUGAUGGGGCAUCGUUACGCCUCAAGAGGAACCACCGCACAGAGAACAUUGCAAGCAUAGCCCAGCCUGCAAGGAGGAAUAUCAUGUACAGAGUGACAGUGGCAUCCCUUGAUGACCAGAAACAAGUAGUUUACACAAAAUCUACAGGAGUACAAUCAGUCUCUCUUGCCAAGACUGAGGAGAUCCGCGUGAUGGUGCUGGAUCCAGACGUCAAGUAUCCACUUCUCCUCAGCGCCAACUUCCUCAUCACAACCAACCACUCUCUCAUCACCAGCCACUCUGGAGGCUCAUCAGGGACCUCCCCCUCCACCAUUGCCUCUGCAUCCACUCUCUCCUCCCGAGCACCUGGCCAGCCCUCAAGAGAAUGACUGCCGCUCUUUGCCAGCCGGGACAUGUAUUUCGGCGCUGGCCAAUCUCCCUGGAUGAAUGAUGUCCGUGGAUGAUUGAUUUCAGUUGAUAAUUUCCAUUUAUAACUCUAGAAACUGAGUUUCACAAGCUGAAUGAUGCUCUGAGGUUAAUUUCAGUGGAUGUUUAUUAUUCCAUGGACGAUUUCAGCAGCUGAUUGAUUGCAUAGUUAAUUUCAGUGACUGAUGUCAUUAGAUUCUUAUAGCUAUGCUCCCAACACCCCACUUCCUUCAUGUCUCAUUUCACAUUUCUCAUCUCAUUACGUCGUAACUCUGUUGUAAGAGGGUCCUCAUCCUGUGCAGAUCUCGGAGAACUCUUUUUGUUUGUUAUGUGUGUGCUUGCCUAGCCUCUCUCUCUCUUUUUUUUUCUUUCCUUCAUCUUUGCUUUAAUGUUGUAAUUCAGGACUGAUACACAUUCCAAAAGAUCUUGGAAUCAUCUUUCUUUUUCUUUUUUCUUUUUUGUUUUUUUUAUUAUUGUUUGAUUUUAACAUUACAAACUGUCUCAUUUUACAUCUUGUGUUAUUAAAUGAGAGGCAAGUACAGUUUCUCUGUAUGAUAGGACAAUACAAAGCUUUAAAUUUUUCUUUUUUUUUUUUUUUUUUUUUUUUUGUACAUAUUCAAUUGUUGAUAUCAUAGUUUUUAAAUAGUAUGGUGCAACCUUGCUGAUCUCUGUUUGUAAGAAAUCAGUAUUUUUUUCAAUUUGUGGGAAGUAGAUCAGAUUCAAAGUCAGUAUUUUUCCUUUUCUUUUUUUUCCAUGGUAGGAGGAAAAAUUAUAUCUAGUGACUUAAUCCUGUUAUAUCUGAUUCAUAAGUAUUUUUUGUUUUAUUAUUAUGUAGUUAAGAGAGAAAAUAUUUUGAUAAUGAUAUGCUCCCUUUUUUAGAUUUUUUGCUAUGUAGUAAAGAAAAGAAGGAAGACAAUGAAGAGGAAUGUUGUAUUAGAAGAAUCUUCUUUUAUUUUCUUCUUCUUCCUCGUCUUCUUUUUUCAGAUGGAGCACCAGAGACAAAGCUCAUGAUCUCCGUGCAUAAAUUUGAUGUUGUAAAAGUGACUGUGCUUGAGCAGCAAGGUGCAACCACAAGCUUUAUUCUAGCGAGGGGAAGAGAAGAGGAGAGCACUCAGAAGGGUUUAAUAGAAGGGGAAAAGGAGUAUUGAACUCACACAUAAAUGCCAUAUUUUUUGUGAUAUAUCUGUCUUUCUACUUUGAUUUAGUAUUUUUUAUUUGGAUUGCAUUAAGUCAUACCUCAUUGACUGCCCCAUAACCAAUGCUAGUUGCAGUAGUUUGUUGUGUGAAGUUGUAAUUGAAGUUCAGAGAGAUCCAACUGGAUUGAAAAGAACUGAACUGAAUCUGGGUAUUUGCUGUAGGAAAUUGCAAUUUUAUGUGAACUAUUUUGAAACUUCAAGGAUAAGCUCAGAAGAAGAGAAAUACUGUGUAAAGAUAAACUCUGAAAUUGCAAAACUUAUGUGGGUCUAAGGGCCAUUUUUGCUUUCUUUAGUUUUUCUUUCCACUUCUCCCUUCCUUCUCCCCUUUUUUUCCUCUCCUCUUUGCUUGUUACAAAGGAAUUGUUUGUGUUGGUGAUAUUUCCAUUGCAUUUACAAGAUGAUAAGUGGAAUGAAAGAUGCCUGUUUGGUUACAAGUAUGGCAGAUUUUCCAUGGUGCAAGUAAUAAUUUCUUGUUUUCUGUCAUCUCUUAAAAAAAGAUAGUGCAAAGGCAGGUCACAGGUCUUAUAUAAGUUACAAAGACAGAUCUAAGAUUAUCCAGAAGUUAGACUUAAUUUCCCUAACAUUAUAGUAAAGCUUUGAUUCAAAUUAACUACACAUAGAACCUAUAUUUGAGAGUCUCAGUGCUAAACUACGACAGCUUUAAAAUGAUAAUAACACUUACGUACUGCAAGCACGGGCUGCAGCCAUACAGUCCUUUCAGAUCAUUCAGUCAUGUUGGUUUUUGGAUUUACUGUUAUACAGUUAUUCGGUCUAUCAUUUCAGGCAUUCAGUCUAGUUGCUUAGCAUUCAAUCUUUGAAUUGUCUGGUCAUUCACUCGACUGGCUGUUCAGUUGUCUGGCCAUUCAAUCUUUGAAUUGUCUGGUCCUUCACUCGACUGGCUGUUCAGUUGUUUGGUAAUUCAUUUAGAUGAUUAUUAAAAAAAAGAAAAGGAUUUGAUGACAUGAAAGGCUAUGGUUGGCAUCCUCUUCAUCCGAUUUCCCUUCUUCAGAUAAGCUAUGGAAUCCUCCCAUAGACAGCCAAUCUGGAGAGCUGCAAUCCUUAUGUCCUUUAAGCAAAAGUAUUGGUUUAUUUGGGAACAAUUUGAUCCUCAAAGGUACAUUUAAUUGUUAAGGCAUGAUGGCCUGUAAGGUAUUCAAUCCAUACCUUAUUCAAAUAUGAUAUUGUUUCUCUGUAAUUAAAUAUUCUUAAGAUUAGAAGAAUAUUUGGAAUAUUGCAGCAAAAUGGCACAAGGAUCCAGAAUUUGGCAGUGUCUAAUUACACUUUAUUUUGAGCUUUCUUUCUUUCUUUAAUAUUAUCAUUAUUAUUCCAUUUUGAGACCUUUUCCCUCAAAUAUACUGUAAACAGCAAAUCUGUAAGAGAACAAAGCUUUUAGUUUGUUAUUUUUAUAGUGAUUAUUUGUGACUAUUUUACAGUAGAUAUAUGUCCUGAAGGAAAUGCUAAAAUUCGUAUUGUAGGCAUGAACAGGAAGAAUCUCUUUCCGUCGUUCAAACCACUCACUGCCAUUAACACAUUAAUAGAUUUGUUACAUUUGAUAAGAUGUUUGUGUGAAGCGAGUGUGGUUGGUUAGAUCAGUUCUGUUGUACUUUUUUCUUUUCUUUCUUCUUUACUUCUUUUUUUUUGUGCAUGCUUUGAAUAACUAUAAUUUCAGAAAAUUGUAAUAUCUUUAGGCCUCUCUCUCUCUCUCUCUCUCUCUCUCUCUCUCUCUCUCUCUCUCUCUCUCUCUCUCUCUCUCUCUCUC
rnacentral:misc_RNA from 1 species